GAUCUAUGCAGUCUCAAUCACAAUCCGUAUAGUGUUUGGUUUCAUGCUUAUUGCUUUGAUAUGGGAAUUUGACUUCUCAGCGUUCAUGGUUCUGAUCAUUGCCAUCCUUAAUGACGGU